rnacentral:misc_RNA from 1 species
UUAUAGCUGUCUAAACAGACAAGCCUAUAGAACCCAUCAAUAAAAAUCACCUGAUUUUUGGUCUGAGAGAGGGCAUCUUCAUGGACAUUCUGAUGAUUGCUCUCUCGCUUUUGGUCGGUUUUAGUACUCCAGUUGGUGGUCUAAUGUUCACAAAUUUGGUGAUUAGCGUUAUGGCUGAGAAAAAAAAUGUUCUAAUGUUAGAAAUUCAAAAAUAUGUUAUUGACUAAACUUUUCUUAUCACUGCAUACUUUGUUAUGAGUUUAAUACAUUAAUAUUUUAUAUUCAUAACUUGCUAAAUUAACAGCCUUUCUGACUCUUGAUUGGCUAAUUGAGAUUUUAUAAUUGCUUUUGUUUUCAAAUAGAUCCAUAUACAUUUUAUGUUCUAAUGCAAACAGUCAUGAGCACGCCAUAUGAAGUGCAUGGGAGGAAUCAGAAAAUCUUUGACAUUAAAGGACAGCUCUUUUAUUCAGAUGAGAAACUUGCAUUCUAUGGAAUAUGUUAUCAAAACUAUCUGAACUUGUUUUUUGGGUACUGAUUUUCUGCUUGCUUCAUACCUCUCUAAUUUGAUAAGCCUGGUUCAAGAUUAGGUCUUGCUCUGUAAUCUAAUUGUAACUUUUGGGCUAGGAAACGGGUGCAAUUUUUGUAAUUUUUAAUCAGGCUUCCAAUUUAAAGAUGCAUGGGCGUUUACACGUGACUCUGAGAGGUAGAACCCUCUAUAUCCAUCCAAGGCGGAAACUGGUUUCUCUUUCCUUUCGUUUCUUUGUUUCUUCAUCUUGUCAUGAAUCACUGUUACUGAGAAGGACAUAAUGCUACUUGUGAAUGCAGCACCAAUCUUGAAUGGAUAGUUACUGAUGAAGUUCUUUUUUUUUUUUCUCAUAUUUUCUUGCUUACCAUGUCUUGCCGAUUCCUGCUUAUGUUGAAUUUCCUUAUCCAAAAGUGCUGGGAACUGAUUAAAGAAUAGAGUUACCAGGGACGAUAUAAACUUGAUAUUAGUUUUUCUCUCUGUCCCUCUAUCUCUCUCUCUUUGCAGUAACAUUGUCUAGACCUCAUUGUGCAGGGUUUUGUCACAGUUCUAAUGUUGAGCAUAUGAGCCAAAGCACAUUUCCAGAAAAUCACUCAUCCUAGUAUUUCUCUCAUGUGAGCACGCUUAACCCACUUAAUCCCAGAGUUCUUCCAACUCUCCAGGCCGUUCCACUAAAAUGCACCUAUGAUUAGUUUUCCCAUUUUAAUAUAUGAUUCGAUUCAUUCCUGUGCCUCGCAUUCCACUACCCUAGGUAGUCUCGCCAUCCUAAAAGCCUGUCAGGAGUUUACUGUCUUAUGCCACUCCCCGCCUUCAUCGGACCGCUUUCCUGGGUCGAGUCAUCAUAGUUAUGAACUCAAUUGGCUUCUUAAAAGGAAACCUUUGGGUUAGCAAUAUCUUUCAAGUUUUUGUAUUCAACACAUUUCUAGUAAGAUGUUAUUUUUUAAGUCUCUUUUAUUCUUUAUUUUUAAUUUCUUCUUGGAGCAGUUUUUUUGGAGAUGUUGUAUUCUUUACUAUUGUAGCAAGGUUUUGUCCCUGAACACUUAUCCUGGGUUCGGAUAUUAAAAACAAAAGGUUUUCUGAUUAUCUGCUCUCAUAAUCCUUAUGUGUUCCAUUACUCAAGCUAAUGUUGGCUGCUUUUUUAUGUGUCGGGAUAUUAAAGCUGUUUUGAUGAUUUGAUGUUGUGUGUUGGAGCAGACAAGUGGGACAGAGAGAGGACAUCAUGAAAAAGCAUCGUGUCCAAGUUAUGUUCAGUGGGAUUAUUACAGCUAUAGGUACGAUUACUUUGUCUUGUCUCUGAUUUUAUAUUUUCACUGUGUCAAACCCACCAUAACGUCAGAUAAAUUAGUAUAUGGUUUAGGGAAUUCAUAUAAUGGAAGAAAGAACUAUAUUGUAUAGCGUCCAUAAUGGUGGAAUGUCACUAGUUGGAUGGCAUUUAAAACAAAUUCCAAUUUUUAGAGUUGGUUACUUUAUUACUGUUAUUAUAAAAAAGUUCAUAAAUUAAUCCAAUUGGAAUGAACUUUUGGUUUUAUGAAUUGUAGGGGUAAGUUUGCACAAUUUCCAGAGGGAAUGGCAGUGUUCCUUGUUUUGAUUGAGGUAGCCUCUGCCUUGUUUGUACUGCUGUCAAAAUACUGGAUGAAUUUUAUGUUAGCCAAUAUUGAAUUGUUUAUUCCCAAGGUUGAUGCAUUGAAAAUAGAAAAUUGAGCCAUUUUAUGUUGGGUUUAAUAUGGAGACCUACCUGUUUAUUAUGAGGUUGAAUUAUAUACUUUAUGAAAUCAAGGAGUUGCUGUGUUCCAAUUUCUACACUGCACAUUUUUCAUUUCACAUGCAGAAAGUACCAGAUCUGUUACUUUUCUGGUUUUUCAACCUAGCUCUUCCAAGAAUUUGCCUCUUUCUGCACUGUCACCGUCAAACAAUUCACCAAAUACUUCAUGUAUAAUUACAAGGGUCUUUCAAUCACGUCUCAUGGUUUAUUCGAAAUUUAUGUUAAUGUUUAUAAACUUCUAAUUAAUGCUAAUGGUUUAUUGGCCAUUGCUUUGCACAAUAUUCCAGAGGUACGCUUUCUCAGAUCCUUAAUGUGGCCUUUUUUGUGCAUUGGAAUGUUUAGUAUGCCCUUUUAAUUUAUGUUGUUAGUUCUUGCAAGUUCUUGCUCUCUGCAAUGUUCAGAAAAUUAAGACAGGAAUUUUUUUAUUUAAUAUAAGCUCACUGAAUAUUGCAUUUCACUGUUUGCACAGAAAAGUAAUUCUUCUGAUAGAUAAAUAACUACAUAGUGAAAAUUUUCCCUGUUGUCCUAACUUUUUUGUGUUCAUAUGUACAGGGUGUUGCUGUUGCACUGCCUGUUUAUUUUGCUACACAAAGGUGAGAAUUCCUGGGCAAAUUGUUAGUGUUAAUCCUUCUAAAUUACUGAUGAAUCUUCUAUACCAUAAAAAGCAUAGACCAAAAACAUGUUUCAUGUGAAAGUAGCUUUAAUGGUACUUUAUUGGAAAUAAGAAGUGAAGAGGUGGAGGUCAAUAUAGUUUCCAUGUUGACAUUCUGCUGUAGAGAUGGCAAUAUAGGGUGUUGCUGUGGUGGAAUGCUGAAGAUGAUUUUGUUGCACAAGUGUUGUGCUGGUAAGGAUGGAGACAAAGAUAGUGAAAACAACCACCCUUUUCUUUGUAGAAAUGAUGCAUGUGACAUUAUUUAAAAUUUAUAGGAUUUAUGACGAAGUACUGCUAACUGUUGGCCAUGUUAGCAAUAGAAUUUGAGUAGAAAUCCUCCUUUUGGCUCCCAAAGUAUUUAAAUCCUAAAGAAAGGCAGUCUUUCAAAUAAAGCCAACAUUACUGGUCCAGGCUGAAUCAACUCCAUUCACUCUUUUUCCUGCAGUUGUUGCACAAAACAUUGUGUUGUUAAUGUGGUGUAAUUUGGUAUGUAUUUUCAGCAGUUUUUGGCUUCAGCACUAUUAUCACAUGCCUAAGGGUUCAACGACUGAGGUGUUGAGAUCUGUUAAUGGCCUAUGUUAUGUGGCUAAAGUUUUCCUUCCAUUAAUAUUAACAGCAAUUUUGUGCAUGCAUCUCAACAGAUUAGGAUUUAUUAUAUUGAGAAGAUAUCCAACUGGCUGAUUUAUAUACCGAUCUC